UGUCAUGAAGCUCGGUGUCGGUGUAUAGAAUCUUAAAAUUUGAAGACUCGGCUGUGAAUAUACAACCGACCGCUAGACGUCAACCCUCCUUGAGCAUGCUAUUGUUACCUGUCAGCUGCCUAGGAAAGGUAUCAUUUAGUCGUUUCAUGCAACAUCAUCGAUAGGAAGAAGUGGGUCUGUUCUAGAACGGGGUCACACGCUACUAUACAUAAUGUACGAUCGUUUAUCCACACAACCCGGCAUCACUUCGGAUGAGCUCCCGGACUGUUUUCACAAACGUUCAUAGUAAAAAUAUAUAGCCCAUGUCCGGUCCGGUUUUUUACUCGGAUGACGGAUCCGGCGGCGCAGUGGACAAACGGCCUUAGUAAGUGGUGGUAUUAAUUUGCAGUAGGCAAUAUAUCACAGGCAGGCCGCUGGUGAUUUCCGUGAAGUUAAAUAAAAACAAAAACAAAAUCUUACCAGCCAGUGCAGGAGCGCCUCUUAAAAACUGACACGAAGUCUUCAUUACUAUAGACAUGUUACAAUGUCAACACUAAUAUACUUAACUUGAUGGAAAUAUUCAUGAGUUUCGUAAACUUCGGGUCAAUGCAGUAACGUGUAAAUUUGACUCCAAUUAUUAAAAUAUCACGAGACGAGAAUAAUAUUUCAGUGGUAAGUUAAACAUUUAUAAAGUGAGUGUGACGUCUGUAACCCACUGUGAAGUUCCGAAACAAAUAAUUUUUACGACAAUAUUGCACACUUUAUAGUCACGACAAAAAAAAUCAUUUUCCAAUUCUUGCGUCGAAACGUACGCAACGUAACGCGAUUAACGCAACUUGAUCGUUUUAGUAAUCGGCAAACAAUUAUGUUUAUUCAGCAUUAUGAUUUGUUUUGUUCACGUCGUGUAAUCAUAGUGCAAGUGUAAUAAUUGUCACGGUUUUGGUUUCGAUCGCAAUGUUUUGUUAAAUAGAUAGAUCUUAAAACUAUACAAUCCAUAUAAAUAUUGAUUUUACAAUAACGUCAUAUAGCAUAAUAUGACACCCAGGGUAAUGUAAA